rnacentral:rRNA from 1 species
UACGUAGGGUCCGAGCGUUGUCCGGAAUUAUUGGGCGUAAAGAGCUCGUAGGCGGUUUGUCGCGUCUGCUGUGAAAUCCCGAGGCUCAACCUCGGGUCUGCAGUGGGUACGGGCAGACUGGAGUGCGGUAGGGGAGACUGGAAUUCCUGGUGUAGCGGUGAAAUGCGCAGAUAUCAGGAGGAACACCGAUGGCGAAGGCAGGUCUCUGGGCAUUAACUGACGCUGAGGAGCGAAAGCAUGGGGAGCGAACAGG